UCAAGCGACUAAGUGUAUGUGGUGGAUGCCUUGGCGAUUACAGGCGAUGAAGGACGUCGCAGCCUGCGAAAAGCCGUGGGGAGCUGGCAAGCGAGCACUGAUCCACGGAUGUCCGAAUGAGGGAACUCACCCGCAAGGGUAUCUUGAAGUGAAUACAUAGCUUCAAGAGGCGAACGCAGCGAACUGAAACAUCUAAGUAGCUGCAGGAAAAGAAAUCAACCGAGAUUCUGAAAGUAGCGGCGAGCGAAAUUGGAAGAGCCUGCAAGUGAUAUUGAAUUCGAUACUGGAACGGUCUGGAAAGUCCGGCUACAGAGGGUGACAGCCCCGUACGGGAAAUUGGGUUCAAGGUACUGAGCUUGCGAGAAGUAGAGCGGGACACGUGAAAUCCUGCUCGAAGAUGGGGGGACCAUCCUCCAAGGCUAAAUACUCGUAAUCGACCGAUAGCGAACCAGUACUGUGAAGGAAAGGCGAAAAGAACCCCGGGAGGGGAGUGAAAUAGAUCCUGAAACCGCAUACAUACAAACAGUAGGAGCCCGCAAGGGUGACUGCGUACCUUUUGCAUAAUGGGUCAGCGACUUACGUUCAAUGGCAAGCUUAACCGAGUAGGGGAGGCGCAGCGAAAGCGAGUCCGAACAGGGCGACAUGAGUCGUUGGGCGUAGACCCGAAACCAGAUGAUCUAUCCAUGGCCAGGCUGAAGGUGUGGUAACACACACUGGAGGGCCGAACCGACUAGUGUUGCAAAAUUAGCGGAUGAGCUGUGGAUAGGGGUGAAAGGCUAAACAAAUCUGGAGAUAGCUGGUUCUCCCCGAAAACUAUUGAGGUAGUGCCUCGUGUAUGGCUCCAGGGGGUAGAGCACUGUUAUGGCUAGGGGGACAUGGCGUCUUACCAAACCAUGGCAAACUCCGAAUACUUGGAAGUCUGAGCACGGGAGACAGAGCACCGGGUGCUAACGUCCGGACUCAAAAGGGAAACAACCCAGACCGCCGGCUAAGGUCCCUAAUAUUGACUAAGUGGAAAACGAAGUGGGAAGGCUAAGACAGUCAGGAAGUUGGCUUAGAAGCAGCCAUCCUUCAAAGAAAGCGUAAUAGCUCACUGAUCGAGUCUUCCUGCGCGGAAGAUGUAACGGGGCUAAGUCAAUAACCGAAGCCGCGGAUUCGCAGCAAUGCGAGUGGUAGGGGAGCGUUCUGUAAGCCUGCGAAGGCGGAUCUGCGAGGACCGCUGGAGGUAUCAGAAGUGCGAAUGCUGACAUGAGUAACGUUAAAGCGGGUGAAAAGCCCGCUCGCCGCAAGCCCAAGGUUUCCUGCUCUACGUUCAUCGGAGCAGGGUGAGUCGGCCCCUAAGGUCAGGCUGAGAAGCGUAGCUGAUGGGAAGCUGGUUAAUAUUCCAGCACCGAUUUCAAGUGCGAAGGGGGGACGGAGUCCUGAAGGUCAUCCGGGUGUUGGAUAUCCCGGUUUACGAGCGUAGGAGGUUGACAGGCAAAUCCGUCAACGGAUCUCCAAGGCGAAGGAUCGAGGUUGAGAGAUCAACUGAAGUGACUGAAUGGGCUUCCAGGAAAAGCCUCUAAGCAUCAGCUUGGAAUUGACCGUACCGCAAACCGACACUGGUGGGCGAGCUGAAUAUGCUCAGGCGCUUGAGAGAACUCAGGAGAAGGAACUCGGCAAAUUGACACCGUAACUUCGGGAUAAGGUGUGCCUUUGUAGUGUGAAGAGAGAAACACUCCGAGCAUGAAGAGGCCUCAGAGAAUCGGUGGCUGCAACUGUUUACUAAAAACACAGCACUCUGCAAAGAUGAAAGUCGACGUAUAGGGUGUGAUGCCUGCCCGGUGCUGGAAGAUUAAUUGAUGGGGUGCAAGCUCCUGAUCGAAGUCCCAGUAAACGGCGGCCGUAACUAUAACGGUCCUAAGGUAGCGAAAUUCCUUGUC
rnacentral:rRNA from 1 species